rnacentral:rRNA from 1 species
AUUGAACGCUGGCGGCAGGCUUAACACAUGCAAGUCGAACGAGUGGCGGACGGGUGAGUAAUGUCUGGGAAACUGCCUGAUGGAGGGGGAUAACUACUGGAAACAGUAGCUAAUACCGCAUACCAUCGGAUGUGCCCAGAUGGGAUUAGCUAGUAGGUGGGGUAAUGGCUCACCUAGGCGACGAUCCCUAGCUGGUCUGAGAGGAUGACCAGCCACACUGGAACUGAGCCACGGUCAAGACUCCUACGGGAGGCAGCAGUGGGGAAUAGUGCACAAGGGGCGCAAGCCUGAUUCAGCCAUGCCGCGUGUAUGAAGAAGGCCUGCGGGUUGUAAAGCACUUUCAGCGAGGAGGCGUUACUCGCAGAAGAAGCACCGGCUAACUCCGUGCCAGCAGCCGCGGUAAUUC